UUGACACGGACUACCAGUGCUAUGUGAUGCGCUCUCGAUGAGUCGAGUUGUUUGGGAAUGCAGCUCAAAAUGGGUGGUAAAUUCCAUCUAAAGCUAAAUAUUGGCGAGAGACCGAUAGCGAACAAGUACCGUGAGGGAAAGAUGAAAAGCACUUUGGAAAGAGAGUUAAACAGUACGUGAAAUUGCUGAAAGGGAAACGAUUGAAGUCAGUCGCGUGUGCUAGAACUCAGCCUUGCUUUUGCUUGGUGCAUUUUCUAGUGUACGGGCCAGCAUCAGUUUUGGCCGCCGGAAAAAGGCCUUGGGAAUGUGGCACCUUCGGGUGUGUUAUAGCCCUUGGUUGUAUACGGUGGCUGGGACUGAGGAACAUAGCAUGCCUUUAUGGCGGGGCUUCGGCCACCUUCAUGCUUUGGAUGCUGGCGUAAUGGCUUUAAACGACCCGUCUUGAAACACGGACCAAGGAGUCUAACAUGCCUGCGAGUGUUUGGGUGGAAAACCCGAGCGCGUAAUGAAAGUGAAAGUUGGGACUUCUGUCGUGGAAGGCACCGACGCCCGGACCAGACCUUCUGUGACGGAUCCGCGGUAGAGCAUGUAUGUUGGGACCCGAAAGAUGGUGAACUAUGCCUGAAUAGGGUGAAGCCAGAGGAAACUCUGGUGGAGGCUCGU
rnacentral:rRNA from 1 species